UGGCAGGUAGCAGAGCAUGGCUGCCAAGUGUUGGCCUGGCAAGCCGACGACAAGCCCGUCAUCUGGUUCGACGCCGAGCAUGCUGAC
rnacentral:tRNA from 3 species